rnacentral:lncRNA from 1 species
GUUGUCGUUUGUUUAUGUGUUACAUAUUUGUUUUUUCGUUCAUUUUUUGUACAUAAAUAAGGCCGCUAGUUUCCUCGUUUGAAUUGUUUAAUAUUGUCAUUUCGGGGCCUUUUAAAGCUGAGUAUGCGGUAUGGGCUUUGCUCGUUGUUGAAGGCCGUAUGUUGACCUAUAGUUGUUAAUUUCUGUGUCAUGUUGGUCUCUUGUGGAGAGUUGUCAACAUGGCAAUUAUACCACACCUUCUUUUUUUU